AUACGAGGGGUGCAAGCGUUAUUCGGAAUCAUUGGGCGUAAAGGGUGUGUAGGCGGCAUGUUAAGUCAACUGUUAAAUCUUCCGGCUCAACCGGAAGCUCGCGGUAGAUACUGGCGUGCUAGAGGAUGAAAGAGAGAAGUGGAAUUCUCGGAGUAGCGGUAAAAUGCGUAGAUCUCGAGAGGAACACCAGUGGCGAAGGCAGCUUCUUGGUUCAUUCCUGACGCUGAGACACGAAAGCGUGGGGAGCAAACAGGAUUAGAAACCCCAGUAGUCC
rnacentral:rRNA from 1 species